CAGCCGCCGCGGGAAUACGUAGGGUGCAAGCGUUAAUCGGAAUUACUGGGCGUAAAGCGUGCGUAGGCGGUUUGUUAAGUCUGCUGUGAAAUCCCCGGGCUCAACCUGGGAACUGCAUUUGUGACUGGCAAGCUAGAGUCUGGCAGAGGGGGGUGGAAUUCCGCGUGUAGCAGUGAAAUGCGUAGAUAUGCGGAGGAACACCGAUGGCGAAGGCAGCCCCCUGGGCCAACGCUGACGCUCAUGCACGAAAGCGUGGGGAGCAAACAGGAUUAGAUACCCCAGUAGUCCCUGUCUCUUAUAC
rnacentral:rRNA from 1 species